UACGUAGGGUGCAAGCGUUGUCCGGAAUUAUUGGGCGUAAAGAGCUCGUAGGCGGUCUGUUGCGUCGGCUGUGAAAACCCGGGGCUCAACUCCGGGCCUGCAGCCGAUACGGGCAGACUAGAGUUCGGCAGGGGAGACUGGAAUUCCUGGUGUAGCGGUGAAAUGCGCAGAUAUCAGGAGGAACACCGGUAGCGAAGGCGGAUCACUGGCGGCGAUACUGACGUGAGGAGCGAAAGCGUGGGGAGCAAACAGG
rnacentral:rRNA from 1 species